rnacentral:rRNA from 1 species
UGAGAGGAUGACCAGCCACACUGGAACUGAGACACGGUCCAGACUCCUACGGGAGGCAGCAGUGGGGAAUAUUGCGCAAUGGGCGCAAGCCUGAUGCAGCCAUGCCGCGUGUAUGAAGAAGGCCUUCGGGUUGUAAAGUACUUUCAGCGGCGAGGAAGGGAGUAAAGUUAAUUCCGUUACUCAUUGACGUUACCCGCAGAAGAAG